GUUAAAGCGAUGAUAGGAAUAGUAGGUACAGUACUUCUUCUGCAGAGAGCCGGCUGAGGUGAAAUCCGGCGGAGAAUCUGUUACUGAAUGCCCUCCUUGAGCCGUGUGCUGAAUUAAGAGUAAGCAUUGCCGUAUCCUGGCGUUAACAGGAUCAAGUGAGCCGUAUGGCUAAUUUAGGUGGUACCACGGGAAUCUAAUCUCGUCCUUUCA
rnacentral:ncRNA from 1 species